AUACGUCAGCAUAAGCAUAAAACAACAGAUAGGACAGGUGGAAUAAUGAUGACAAAGAUCACGAAUACGGAUGUUUCACGAAGUUCUGUGUCACAAAACUUCUGCGCAUCUUGACCUUCACAAAACUAUGUUGCGGAUUUCAUCGAAUGGAAGCCCUCAGAAAAAGUCAGAGAGCAUAACCGGUAAAUGCAUUGAGGAUAUUGUGUGAAAAUGCUUUACCUGACAUUCUUGCCAAUUAACAGCAACAGCAAAUGAACGUUGAAAUUAAGGUGCAAAGUCGCCAGCCAAGAUUGCAGUUUCAUAACAUCGUUAUUAACUCUACGCCACCUCCAGCUCGUGGACACCUCCUUCCUACCUCGCAGGCAACCAUCACUCACCUGGCCGUGCUCACUGUGCUCCCGCUGCUAAUACUGGCCGGAUUCGAGGCGACAACCAUCUUUGCAAGCUUGUCCGGCAUUCUAGCAACAUGUAUCACCCAAUGUAUCCUCGUAGCGUUUGUCAUUUUUGCAGGCUGGGUUCACCGUAGCGUAUAGGCGAGCUCGUAAUUUAUGUUUCGAUGUCACAGUAAAAUGUAUCAACAUAUUUGUUUUACACUUAUAACUUGAUUGUAGAAUUAUAGCCUCCUUAAGCUUGCCAAAUAUUUUUAUAUAAAAUGUUUGUAAUAUAGAAAAACUACAAUCCAAUGAACAGUAGAUUUCUCAAUAAAAGUAAAAGAAACGAAAACAAAAGGAAACAAAAGAUUACUAUAUAAAUCAAGAUG